GAUGAACGCUAGCGGCAGGCUUAAUACAUGCAAGUCGAACGGUGUCUUCGGACAUAGUGGCGCACGGGUGCGUAACACGUAUGCAACCUACCUUACAUUGGGGGAUAGCCUUUCGAAAGGGAGAUUAAUACCGCAUAAGACAGUAGCUGGGCAUUCAGCAGCUGUUAAAGAUUUUUCGAUGUAAGCUGGGCAUGCGUCCAAUUAGCUAGUUGGUGAGGUAACGGCUCACCAAGGCAAUGAUUGGUAGGGGAACUGAGAGGUCCAUCCCCCACACUGGCACUGAAAUACGGGCCAGACUCCUCAGGGAGGAAGCAGUAGGGAAUAUUGGGCAAAGGACGCAAGUCAGACACAGCCAUGCCGCGUGCAGGAUGAAGGCGUUAUGCGUUGUAAACUGCUUUUAUACAGGAAGAAACGACUCUUGCGAGAGGCAUUGACGGUACUGUAUGAAUAAGCACCGGCUAACUCCGUGCCAGCCGCCGCCGUAACAC
rnacentral:rRNA from 1 species